CGUCUGCCUUAUGUUUGAAUUGCUUUCUAUUCUCGGCAGUUGUUUUAAAUUAAACUUUUAUUUUGUGUCUCCCCCCUCAGCAUCCUGUCCGAGACAAAGCUACCUUUCUUUCCUCGUGGGAAUGGACCGGCCGGGCUUUGGCAAUCUGUCCCCUCGAAAGACAAAGUGACCUCUUGCAGCAGGGGAAGACUGAAGCAAGGGGUGCCAGGAAGAACUGGAGUCCCUGGAGAAUAAAAGCUGGAAGUAUGGCCCCGAAAGUCCCCAGCCCCGGGUGGUCAGUGGUCUGACUUGCACGGAGCGGUGGCCUUGGCCAGGAGCGGUCCUGCGGGAAGCACCUUUGCCCAGGCUGUAAUUUUAAUUUCCACUGGGUGCUGGCAAAGCCCCCCUGGGGGUGAGCCCCAGUGCCUGGCAGGAGCGGAGCGGGCUUGCGGGGAGGUGUUCACCCGGUCAGCGUCAGGAACCAUCCUAACUGAGGCCUCGGCUGCCUCUUUCCCUUCGGUCGCCGUGUGUGUGCCGGACACCUCUGGCAGGACUAACCCUGUGGCUUUUAUGUCCAACGUGCUGUAUGCCUGCAGCAUCCUGUCCGAGACAAAGCUACCUUUCUUUCCUCGUGGGAAUGGACCGGCCGGGCUUUGGCAAUCUGUCCCCUCGAAAGACAAAGUGACCUCUUCCAACAGGGGAAGACUGAAGCAAGGGGUGCCAGGAAGAACUGGAGUCUCUGGAGAAUAAAAGCUGGAAGUAUGGCCCCGAAAGUCCCCAGCCCCGGGUGGUCAGUGGUCUGACUUGCACGGAGCGGUGGCCUUGGCCAGGAGCGGUCCUGCCGGCCUGUACUUUGAAUUUCCUGCCCAGGCUGUAAUUUUAAUUUCCACUGGGUGCUGGCAAAGCCCCCCUGGGGGUGAGCCCCAGUGCCCGGCAGGAGCGGAGCGGGCUUGCGGGGAGGUGUUCACCCGGUCAGCGUCAGGAACCAUCCUAACUGAGGCCUCGGCUGCCUCUUUCCCUUCGGUCGCCGUGUGUGUGCCGGACACCUCUGGCAGGACUAACCCUGUGGCUUUUAUGUCCAACGUGCUGUAUGCCUGCAGGGGAAGACUGAAGCAAGGGGUGCCAGGAAGAACUGGAGUCUCUGGAGAAUAAAAGCUGGAAGCGUGCCCCCGAAAGUCCCCAGCCCCGGGUGGUCAGUGGUCUGACUUGCACGGAGCGGUGGCCUUGGCCAGGAGCGGUCCUGCCGUCCUGUAAUUUGAAUUUCCUGCCCAGGCUGUAAUUUUAAUUUCCACUGGGUGCUGGCAAAGCCCCCCUGGGGGUGAGCCCCAGUGCCUGGCAGGAGCGGAGCGGGCUUGCGGGGAGGUGUUCACCCGGUCAGCGUCAGGAACCAUCCUAACUGAGGCCUCGGCUGCCUCUUUUCCUUCGGUCGCCGUGGACACUGUGCCGGACGCCUCUGGCAGGACUAACUACCGUGGCUUUUACGUCC